AAGCAGAGCUUUUGGCAGUUUGGUGUUCUAGAGAACUCGGGUGUGUGUCUGCUUCAUGAGAAGAAGAAAGGACAUCAGCCUUGACCUCAGAGAAGCAAUUGUUGCCACUCAUUAAUCUGGGAAGGGUCAUAAGGCCAUCUCCAAACAAGUUAAAAUUCUCCAUUCUACAGUGAGAAGGAUUGUUCACAAACGGAGAGCCUUCAAGGCAGUUAGCAAUCUUCUCAGGAGUUGGUGUACAAAUGAAUCCAGUCCAAAGACAAGCCCCAGCGAUACAGGCCUCUGUGUUCUCACUCAGAUCAGCGGUGACAGUGUGAAAUAUCCGGAUAAUCCAAUCUGUGCUGUGAGAGGAUUCAGUGUCUCCAUUCCCUCUCAUCAAUCACCACAUCAGACUUUGAGUACGCUGGAGACGACAAAUCAGACUGCACUUUGUUAAUCCACAAUGUACAGUUCAGUUAUUCUGGAGAGUACAGAUUCAGAUUUAUAACUAAUGACCCCAAAAUCAGAUACACAGGUCUUCCUGGAGCGAUUCUACAAGUUUCAGAUUUAAAGGUGUCACUAAUCAGGCUCAGUGGAAUCGGAACCCUUAAACAAGGAGACUCGUUAAAUCUGACGUGUGAUGUGAACUGCACACAAAGUUCCUCACAGUUUGUGUGGUCUAAGAACAACGAGCGCUUAAAUACAUCAGGACCCGUUCUUCACUUUCCUGCUGUAACCGUGAGGGAUUCUGGGAAUUACACCUGCACUUGGAAAACCAACAUGACGUCAGGAUCUGAAACGAUCAGCCUUCUCGUCGAGGAUGACAACACUGAAAAUCCUGAAGGUUGGCCCAUCUGGAUGAUUGCUUCACUGACAGUUGGAGUGAGUGUCGUCAUCAUCACACUCAUCGUAGGAGCUGUGAUUUUCAACAGGAGGUGUGUGUGUGAAUGCAGGAGUGUCCAUACUGAGAAGCAGAAGAAGGAUGUGACUAAUAUCUACGCUAAUGUCCGGCAGAAGGAGGACGAUUCUGAUAUCUACGCUAAUGUACAAUAGCAACGAGCUGAUCACAGGUUCACACCUCAUGCUCAGCUUAAAGGCUUCUUCUUACGAGUUUCCUCUGUGCACUGAAACAGAAGGUUAAACAGCAUACACUUCCUGUGUAGUGCAUUUGAGCUUACUUUCAUGAUGUACAGCUUGGCAAUUUAUUACAUUUAUUGUCAUUACAGUCGUGGAACAAUUGUUUUUUUUAAAGUU